rnacentral:rRNA from 1 species
UGCAGUCGAGCGGUAGAGAGAGCUUGCUUCUCUUGAGAGCGGCGGACGGGUGAGUAAUGCCUAGGAAUCUGCCUGGUAGUGGGGGAUAACGUUCGGAAACGGACGCUAAUACCGCAUACGUCCUACGGGAGAAAGCAGGGGACCUUCGGGCCUUGCGCUAUCAGAUGAGCCUAGGUCGGAUUAGCUAGUUGGUGAGGUAAUGGCUCACCAAGGCGACGAUCCGUAACUGGUCUGAGAGGAUGAUCAGUCACACUGGAACUGAGACACGGUCCAGACUCCUACGGGAGGCAGCAGUGGGGAAUAUUGGACAAUGGGCGAAAGCCUGAUCCAGCCAUGCCGCGUGUGUGAAGAAGGUCUUCGGAUUGUAAAGCACUUUAAGUUGGGAGGAAGGGCAGUUGCCUAAUACGUAACUGUUUUGACGUUACCGACAGAAUAAGCACCGGCUAACUCUGUGCCAGCAGCCGCGGUAAUACAGAGGGUGCAAGCGUUAAUCGGAAUUACUGGGCGUAAAGCGCGCGUAGGUGGUUUGUUAAGUUGGAUGUGAAAUCCCCGGGCUCAACCUGGGAACUGC